rnacentral:rRNA from 1 species
AUGGAUUCGUCUCCGGCCGCGUCGGCGUCCUACUGGUGCUACAGCUGCGACCGCUUCGUGCGCGCCGCGUCGUCGCCGGAGGGGGGCGGCGACGUCGCCUGCCCGGACUGCGGCGGCGGCUUCCUCGAGGAGAUGCGGCGGACCCCGCCGGCCCCCGCCUACCUCCGCCGCCCGCGCGCGCACCACGCCAACGACCUCCGCCUCCGCCGCAGCCGCCGCGCGGCCGCGGCUGCUGCGGCAGCCGCCUCCGCCUCUGGAGGAGGUAGCGGGGGCGACCGCGCGCCGUUCAACCCGGUCAUCGUGCUGCGGCGCUCGGCGCUCGGCGCGGGGGCAGCGGGGGAAGACAACAACGGCGACGGCGACGACGGCGCGCUCGCCGCGGCCAGCAGCUUCGAGCUCUUCUACGACGACGGGGCGGGCUCGGGCCUCCGCCCGCUGCCGGAGAGCAUGUCGGACUUCCUCAUGGGGUCCGGGUUCGAGCGCCUCCUCGGCCAGCUGGCGCAGAUCGAGGCCGGCGGGCUCACCCGGGCGCGCGAGACCCCGCCGGCGUCCAAGGCGGCCGUCGAGUCCAUGCCCACCGUCGCCAUCGCGGCCUCCCACGUCGCCGCCGACUGCCACUGCGCCGUCUGCAAGGAGCCCUUCGAGCUCGGCGCCGAGGCCAGGGAGAUGCCCUGCGCCCACAUCUACCACGAGGACUGCAUCCUCCCCUGGCUGCAGCUCCGCAACUCGUGCCCCGUCUGCCGCCACGAGAUGCCCACCGACACCGCCGCGGCGCGGUCGCAGGCCGCCAGCGCCGGGGCAGAGGAGGAGACCACCGUGGGCCUGACCAUCUGGAGGCUGCCGGGAGGCGGGUUCGCCGUCGGGAGGUUCGCCGGCGGCAGGAGGCCCGAGGAGAGGGAGCUCCCGGUCGUUUACACAGAGAUGGACGGCGGUUUCAACCACGGCGGCGCGCCGAGGAGGAUCUCCUGGGGGUCGAGGCAGAGCCGGUCGACGGAGAGGAGCGCCAUCAGGCGCGUCUUCCGCAAUAUGUUUGCCUGCUUUGGCCGCGGCCAUUCGGCAGGCUCCCACGCUUCGUCCUCCCAAAUGAGGCCUGAGGAGAUGACCGAGGCAUCGGAUCAUUCCGCCGCGUUCAGCCAUGGCUCGAGAAGCCGGAGCAUGAGCUGGAGGCUGGAAGACGGCCACGCCGCCGACACGAUGGUGCAGAGAUAG